rnacentral:rRNA from 1 species
ACUCCUACGGGAGGCAGCAGUGGGGAAUAUUGCACAAUGGGGGAAACCCUGAUGCAGCCAUGCCGCGUGUGUGAAGAAGGCCUUGGGUUGUAAAGCACUUUCAGUAGGGAGGAAGGUAGUGUAGUUAACACCUGCAUUAUUUGACGUUACCUACAGAAGAAGCACCGGCUAACUCCGUGCCAGCAGCCGCGGUAAUACGGAGGGUGCGAGCGUUAAUCGGAAUUACUGGGCGUAAAGCGCAUGCAGGCGGCCUGUUAAGUCAGAUGUGAAAGCCCGGGGCUUAACCUCGGAAUUGCAUUUGAAACUGGCAGGCUAGAGUCUUGUAGAGGGGUAGAAUUUCAGGUGUAGCGGUGAAAUGCGUAGAGAUCUGAAGGAAUACCAGUGGCGAAGGCGGCCCCCUGGACAAAGACUGACGCUCAGAUGCGAAAGCGUGGGAGGCAAAC